rnacentral:lncRNA from 1 species
AGUUUGACUAGCCAAUCAGAGCGCGCCUUCAACGCUAUCCCCUGUUUUAGUAUAUACUAAUAAAAGAUAAUCUACACAAGAUUUUUCAUAUGAAGACAAACCUAUUAGUGACGGACCUUCAGCCAAUCUGUUUGGGGUAUAUCUUGGGAAACAACCCUACAGACUGCCCAAAUCAGGUGAUUAUAAAAGCAGGGAGGAAACACAUGAAGGGACUGGAGAGAGCAAAGUCUACAUGAAAUAAGCCAGCUGGCAUUUUAUAGGGCACUUGAACAGCACCUCAUCACUUGGCUGCUAGAUACCCAAAGAGACAACCAGCAACUUGAUAUAAUUAUUACACAUGAUAAUAAACACC